UCAAAAUAUUGGAUUACUCCAAGUUGGUUACAUUGAUUUAACUGUUAUCUGAAAGUUCCAAAGCAAACAAUUGUGUUGUCUGUUUAUGUGGACAUUGCGAUCAUUGUUUUGAUCUUUCGGUUUCUAAAGUGUCGUAUACAUCUCGGACAUAAUGAGGAAAGUAUGUGGCUACUUCUCUAACGGCAAGAGUGUUUACCGAGACGGAGUGAAGGUUCGGCUCAAACCUCCCUCCCUGACGCAGUAAAACCGAGCGAGUCAUAGAGGAGACUGAUGAAGGUCACGCUGGUAAGCUCCUACGUACAGCCUCUGCAGGGCUGUUGCAUAAAUCAAGCCCGUAGAUCUGCAGGCUCAAGCAGCCAGAUGUGUCAGCUUGCAAGUAAAAUACAUCUUCUUAAGGGUACGGGGGGUCUGAGGACAUAAUUCCACUGACAGGAAGUAUGGCCGGGGAUCCCCACAUGGGACGAUAACCCCCCAAGGCUUUCAAACACACCAAAACGAAGAGCUUUCAAAUGAACAAAAAGUUAAACACAGGAUAUUAUACCUCCUUUCUACAUCCCAAGUGCCAGCACGGGCCUCUAAAGGAACCAAAUAUCAAUCCAGCAAAAAAGGAGAAUGAAAACAAAAGAAAAAUACCUGCUGA